rnacentral:rRNA from 1 species
UACGUAGGGUGCAAGCGUUGUUCGGAAUUACUGGGCGUAAAGGGAGCGUAGGUGGAUAAGUAAGUUAGAAGUUUAAUGUAUGGGCUUAACCCGUAAUCUGCUUCUAAUACUGUUUAUCUUGAGUAUGGAAGAGGAAGAUGGAAUUCCAGGUGUAGCGGUGGAAUGCGUAGAUAUCUGGAAGAACACCAGUAGCGAAGGCGGUCUUCUGGUCCAAUACUGACGCUGAGGCUCGAAAGCUAGGGGAG